rnacentral:rRNA from 1 species
UACGUAGGUGGCGAGCGUUGUCCGGAAUUACUGGGUGUAAAGGGCGUGUAGGCGGGAUUGCAAGUCAGAUGUGAAAUUCCGAGGCUUAACCUCGGCGCUGCAUCUGAAACUGUGAUUCUUGAGUGUUGGAGAGGAUAGUGGUAUUCCUAGUGUAGCGGUGAAAUGCGUAGAUAUUAGGAGGAACACCAGUGGCGAAGGCGACUAUCUGGACAAUAACUGACGCUGAGGCGCGAAAGCGUGGGGAGCAAACAGG